rnacentral:rRNA from 1 species
GACGAACGCUGGCGGCAUGCUUAACACAUGCAAGUCGAACGGAAAGGCCCUUCGGGGUCCUCGAGUGGCGAACGGGUGGGUAACACGUGGGUGAGCUGCCCUGCUCUUUGGCAUAAGCCUGGGGAACUGGCUCUUAUACCGACUGGAACAACGCGUUUCACGGUUUGUGUUGGCAAGCUUUUGCGUUGCGGGCUGGGCGCGCGGCCUAUCAGCUGGUUGUUGGGGUAAUGGUGUACCAAGGCGACGACGGGUGGCCGGCCUGCGAGGGGGAGCGGCCCCACUAGGACUGAGAUACGGCACAGACUCCUACGGGAGGGGGCGGAGGGGAAUAUAGUACAAUGGGCGGGAGCCUGAUCUAGCGAAGCCGCGUGAGGGAUGAGAGGCUUCGGGUUGUGAACCGCUUUCAAUAGAGACGAGACGCAAGUGACGGUACCUAUAGAAGAAGCACCGGCUAACUACGUG